rnacentral:rRNA from 1 species
UGCGUAGGGUGCGAGCGUUAAUCGGAAUUACUGGGCGUAAAGCGUGUGCAGGCGGUCUGUUAAGACAGGUGUGAAAGCCCCGGGCUCAACCUGGGAAGUGCACUUGAAACCUCGGAGCUUGAAUGCCGGAGAGGGCAGCGGAAUUCUCGGUGUAGAGGUGAAAUUCGUAGAUAUCGAGAGGAACACCUGUGGCGAAGGCGGCUGCCUGGACGACGAUUGACGCUGAGACGCGAAAGCGUGGGGAGCAAACAGG